rnacentral:rRNA from 1 species
CCUACGGGAGGCAGCAGUGAGGAAUAUUGGACAAUGGGCGCAAGCCUGAUCCAGCCAUGCCGCGUGCAGGAUGACGGUCCUAUGGAUUGUAAACUGCUUUUAUACAGGAAGAAACCCUGGUUCGUGAACCAGCUUGACGGUACUGUAAGAAUAAGGAUCGGCUAACUCCGUGCCAGCAGCCGCGGUAAUACGGAGGAUCCAAGCGUUAUCCGGAAUCAUUGGGUUUAAAGGGUCCGUAGGCGGUUUAAUAAGUCAGUGGUGAAAGCCCAUCGCUCAACGGUGGAACGGCCAUUGAUACUGUUAAACUUGAAUUAUUAGGAAGUAACUAGAAUAUGUAGUGUAGCGGUGAAAUGCUUAGAGAUUACAUGGAAUACCAAUUGCGAAGGCAGGUUACUACUAAUAUAUUGACGCUGAUGGACGAAAGCGUGGGUAGCGAACAGGAUUAGAUACCCUGGUAGUCCACGCCGUAAACGAUGGAUACUAGCUGUUGGGAGCAAUCUCAGUGGCUAAGCGAAAGUGAUAAGUAUCCACCUGGGGAGUACGUUCGCAAGAAUGAAACUCAAAGAGUAGUGACGNGNGAGAGCGACGACGACGACGAGGAGGAGGAG